rnacentral:rRNA from 1 species
UCCCUCAGUAACGGCGAGUGAAGAGGGAAGAGCCCAGCACCGAAGCCUGCGGCAGGUUUGCUGUUAGGCAAUGUGGUGUGCGGGUCGGCUGUUUGCGGGAUCGUCACUCCACUCGAAGUCCAGCAUUGAGUAUGGUUAUCACUGGAUUUUGGCCCAUAGAGGGUGAGAGGCCCGUACGGGUGGAGGUUUAUUACAUGUGAGACGAUUCACCAGGUCGGCCUCAGAGUCGGGUUGUUUGAGAUUGCAGCCCAAAGUGGGUGGUAAACUCCAUCCAAGGCUAAAUACUGGCAUGAGUCCGAUAGCGAACAAGUACCGUGAGGGAAAGUUGAAAAGCACUCUGAAGAGAGAGUAAACAGUACGUGAAGCCGCAUACAGGUAAACGGGUGGCGUCAAGCUGCUAGCCUGGAGGAUUCAGCUGACUUGGUUAAAGUGUGCGCGCCUGGUGCGUCGAGUGGCCGGAGUAAGGUGGGGUGGCUCGUUCCUCUGCUGGGAAUGAGGUGCGGUUGGUGUGUGUAUGCAUGCCGAUCGUCGCUAUGCGAACCGGGUGGGUACCGGUGCAUGUCACCCGUCCGUGGGGCCGUCAAGUUAGUGCACUUCCUUCAUGGUGAACACCACGACCGGUGGAAUUGUCAGUCUGCUGUGGUCAAGUCGUGCUUCUCGCUUGGCACCAAGUCAAGUGGACACGAUCGCAGGUAGAUCGGAUGGACGGCGCGGUGAUGCCUCGGUGUUGUCGCGUGUUAUCGUGCAUCCCCUACUGGAAGCGGGUGCCAUGCGUGCUGUGACCGCGCAUGGCGGCUCGGCGGACCACGGUGGUGAUAGUGACUGUACAAGGCAUCGGGGUUGUCCACCUCAUGACAACUUGUUGUCAUGGUAUCUGACACACGCGUUGCAGGUGACUGGUGUUAGCGGGCAUGCGUCAUUGUCUGCGGGCAUUGGAUCUGACUGUCGUGUCGCCCGCGCAAGGUGGGUUCGGCAGUGGUUGCGGGUGCCUCGCAGUGUGCAGUGUGCGCUGUCCCCGUGUGUCUAUGGUACCGGGGGUGAAACAGUCUGUGGUGCUGUGGUAGACCAGCUACCCGACCCGUCUUGAAACACGGACCAAGGAGUUUAACAUGCCUGCGAGUCAAAGGGUGCUACGAAACCCAGAGGCGCAGUGAAAGUGAACUUCGUGUUACACGGAUGCACACUUACGCGGUGUAGCACGAUGUGGUGAGAUCCCGUCGUUUGUCGCUGUAGCCAGGUAUACCAGGCCAAGGGCGGCGGGCGCAUCACCGGCCCGUCCCAUGAUGUGGUCAUAGGUGUUCCCUGGUGUGACUAAUUGGCCGUUAGGCCGGUCGGUCUGCCAGGUGGGCGGUCUGUGCGUCAUCGGGGCGGAGCAUGAGCAGGCAUGUUGAGACCCGAAAGAUGGUGAACUAUGCUCGCGUAGGUUGAAGCCAGAGGAAACUCUGGUGGAGGACCGUAGCGAUUCUGACGUGCAAAUCGAUCGUCAAACGUGAGUAUAGGGGCGAAA